AGCGAACGCUGGCGGCAGGCUUAACACAUGCAAGUCGAACGGGCGUAGCAAUACGUCAGUGGCAGACGGGUGAGUAACGCGUGGGAACGUACCUUUUGGUUCGGAACAACCCAGGGAAACUUGGGCUAAUACCGGAUAAGCCCUUACGGGGAAAGAUUUAUCGCCGAAAGAUCGGCCCGCGUCUGAUUAGCUAGUUGGUGAGGUAACGGCUCACCAAGGCAACGAUCAGUAGCUGGUCUGAGAGGAUGAUCAGCCACAUUGGGACUGAGACACGGCCCAAACUCCUACGGGAGGCAGCAGUGGGGAAUAUUGGACAAUGGGCGGCAAGCCUGAUCCAGCCAUGCCGCGUGAGUGAUGAAGGCCCUAGGGUUGUAAAGCUCUUUUGUGCGGGAAGAUAAUGACGGUACCGCAAGAAUAAGCCCCGGCUAACUUCGUGCCAGCCGCCGCUGUAAU
rnacentral:rRNA from 1 species